CCUACGGGUGGCAGCAGUGGGGAAUAUUGCACAAUGGGGGGAACCCUGAUGCAGCGACGCCGCGUGGGUGAGGAAGUACUUCGGUAUGUAAAGCCCUAUCAGCAGGGAAGAAAAUGACGGUACCUGACUAAGAAGCCCCGGCUAACUACGUGCCAGCAGCCGCGGUAAUACGUAGGGGGCAAGCGUUAUCCGGAUUUACUGGGUGUAAAGGGAGCGUAGACGGCGUGCCAAGUCUGGUGUGAAAGGCCGGGGCUCAACCCCGGGACUGCAUUGGAAACUGGCAUGCUGGAGUGCCGGAGGGGCAAGCGGAAUUCCUAGUGUAGCGGUGAAAUGCGUAGAUAUUAGGAGGAACACCGGUGGCGAAGGCGACUAUCUGGCACAUAACUGACGCUGAGGAGCGAAAGCGUGGGUAGCAAACAGGAUUAGAUACCCGUGUAGUC
rnacentral:rRNA from 1 species